rnacentral:lncRNA from 1 species
UUCACUCGCAUUUCGUUUAGAAACCCUCAGUUUACGUAAGCCUCACCGGUCGCCGGAGAAUCGCCACGAAACCGUCGCCGGUCGCCGGAAAUUAGCUUCAGCAACUUGCUAUCCAGAGUAACCUCGUGUGACCACACAUCCAUCUCAACAUCCUCAUCUCUGCUUCUUCCAUCUUGUGCGCUUAAGUCUUCUUGAUGGCCCAAUAGUCUGUCCCAUAUAACAAAGACCAAAGCAGGUAAAAUUGCAACCCUUUAAAUUUUCUCUUUAAUUAAUUUAAUUAAUCGAGGGUCUCACAAAAAUAUUAUGGCUUAGGAAGGGAAGAACCGACAGAAGUUGGGUUUACAUUCUUUACGACACGUAGAGGUGGGCAAACACUUUAUCAAAAUGAAGCUAGAGACUGAGUUGAUUGAGUUGCCGCAUGUUUGAUCAGAAGAGCAGCUAACGUGAAUGGGGAGAAAGGGGGAAACAUGCUUCUGGUUUAUUUAUUGUUCUUUUUUGUGUGGGAAUAUAAUAAAGAAAAUGGUAUAG